AACGAACGCUGGCGGCAGGCUUAACACAUGCAAGUCGAGCGCCCCGCAAGGGGAGCGGCAGACGGGUGAGUAACGCGUGGGAACGUACCCUUUGCUACGGAAUAGCUCCGGGAAACUGGAAUUAAUACCGUAUGUGCCCUACGGGGGAAAGAUUUAUCGGCAAAGGAUCGGCCCGCGUUGGAUUAGCUAGUUGGUGGGGUAAUGGCCUACCAAGGCGACGAUCCAUAGCUGGUCUGAGAGGAUGAUCAGCCACAUUGGGACUGAGACACGGCCCAAACUCCUACGGGAGGCAGCAGGUGGGAAUAUUGGACAAUGGGCGCAAGCCUGAUCCAGCCAUGCCGCGUGAGUGAUGAAGGCCUUAGGGUUGGAAAGCUCUUUCACCGGAGAAGAUAAUGACGGUAUCCGGAGAAGAAGCCCCGGCUAACUUCGUGCCAGCCGCCGCCGUAAGAC
rnacentral:rRNA from 1 species